rnacentral:rRNA from 1 species
UACAGAGGGGGCAAGCGUUGUUCGGAAUUACUGGGCGUAAAGGGCGCGUAGGCGGCCUUCUAAGUCGAACGUGAAAUCCCCGGGCUCAACCCGGGAACUGCGUCCGAUACUGGAUGGCUUGGAUUUGGGAGAGGGAUGCGGAAUUCCAGGUGUAGCGGUGAAAUGCGUAGAUAUCUGGAGGAACACCGGUGGCGAAGGCGGCAUCCUGGACCAAUAUUGACGCUGAGGAGCGAAAGCCAGGGGAGCAAACGGG